rnacentral:rRNA from 1 species
AGUGAACGCUGGCGGUAGGCCUAACACAUGCAAGUCGAACGGCAGCACAGUAAGAGCUUGCUCUUACGGGUGGCGAGUGGCGGACGGGUGAGGAAUACAUCGGAAUCUACUUUUUCGUGGGGGAUAACGUAGGGAAACUUACGCUAAUACCGCAUACGACCUACGGGUGAAAGCAGGGGAUCUUCGGACCUUGCGCGAUUGAAUGAGCCGAUGUCGGAUUAGCUAGUUGGCGGGGUAAAGGCCCACCAAGGCGACGAUCCGUAGCUGGUCUGAGAGGAUGAUCAGCCACACUGGAACUGAGACACGGUCCAGACUCCUACGGGAGGCAGCAGUGGGGAAUAUUGGACAAUGGGCGCAAGCCUGAUCCAGCCAUACCGCGUGGGUGAAGAAGGCCUUCGGGUUGUAAGACCCUUUUGUUGGGAAAGAAAAGCAGCAGGUUAAUACCCCGCUGUUCUGACGGUACCCAAAGAAUAAGCACCGGCUAACUUCGUG